rnacentral:pre_miRNA from 1 species
AAUAAACCCUAGGUUUCCGUGUCCAACGUUUGACCGUCCAUCUUAUUUAAAAAAAUUAUGAUAAAAAUUAAAAAGACAAGUCACACAUAAAGUAUUAAUCAUAUUUUAUAACAAUGAAAAUACUAAUUAUAAAAAAUUUCAUAUAAGACAGAUAGUCAAACGUUAGACACGGAAACCUAGAGUUUGUCUUUUU